GACCUCGAAUCAGGUAGGGAUACCCGCUGAACUUAAGCAUAUCAAUAAGCGGAGGA
rnacentral:rRNA from 1 species